AGGCAGCAGUGGGGAAUAUUGCACAAUGGAGGAAACUCUGAUGCAGCGACGCCGCGUGAAGGAAGAAGGUCUUCGGAUUGUAAACUUCUGUUGUCAGGGACGAUAAUGACGGUACCUGACGAGAAAGCCACGGCUAACUACGUGCCAGCAGCCGCGGUAAAACGUAGGUGGCAAGCGUUGUCCGGAAUUACUGGGUGUAAAGGGCGUGUAGGCGGGAUUGCAAGUCAGAUGUGAAAACCACGGGCUCAACCUGUGGCCUGCAUUUGAAACUGCAGUUCUUGAGUACUGGAGAGGCAGACGGAAUUCCUAGUGUAGCGGUGAAAUGCGUAGAUAUUAGGAGGAACACCAGUGGCGAAGGCGGUCUGCUGGACAGCAACUGACGCUGAGGCGCGAAAGCGUGGGGAGCAAACAGGAUUAGAUACCCUGGUAGUCCACGCUGUAAACGAUGGAUACUAGGUGUGGGGGGUCUGACCCCCUCCGUGCCGCAGUUAACACAAUAAGUAUCCCACCUGGGGAGUACGAUCGCAAGGUUGAAACUCAAAGGAAUUGACGGGGGCCCGCACAAGCGGUGGAGUAUGUGGUUUAAUUCGAAGCAACGCGAAGAACCUUACCAGGGCUUGACAUCCCGACGACCGGUGUAGAGAUACACUUUUCCCUUCGGGGACGUCGGUGACAGGUGGUGCAUGGUUGUCGUCAG
rnacentral:rRNA from 1 species